CGCCGCGGUAACACCGGCGGCCCGAGUGGUGAUCGUGAUUAUUGGGUCUAAAGGGUCCGUAGCCGGUUUGGUCAGUCCUCCGGGAAAUCUGAUAGCUCAACUAUUAGGCUUUCGGGGGAUACUGCCAGACUUGGAACCGGGAGAGGUAAGAGGUACUACAGGGGUAGGAGUGAAAUCUUGUAAUCCCUGUGGGACCACCUGUGGCGAAGGCGUCUUACCAGAACGGGUUCGACGGUGAGGGACGAAAGCUGGGGGCACGAACCGGAUUAGAUACCCGGGUAGUCCCAGCCGUAAACGAUGCUCGCUAGGUGUCAGGCAUGGCGCGACCGUGUCUGGUGCCGCAGGGAAGCCGUGAAGCGAGCCACCUGGGAAGUACGGCCGCAAGGCUGAAACUUAAAGGAAUUGGCGGGGGAGCACAACAACGGGUGGAGCCCUGCGGUUUAAUUGGACUCAACGCCGGACAACUCACCGGGGGCGACAGCAAUAUGUAGGCCAAGCUGAAGACUUUGCCUGAAUCGCUGAGGAGUGGUGCAUGG
rnacentral:rRNA from 1 species